AUAACAUGGAUAUUUCUAUCAGAUUCCUACGCCAAUAAUUAUCUAUCAUUGUACAAGAAAUGAAAUGAAAUGGAGUUUAACGCCCUACUGUUGUGCUCCGACUGGGCUAAUAACAAUGAUGUAAAUAAAAUACGCUCUCAUUGAAGGGUGAAUUAACCGUACACGUCCAGUAGUCCGGACGCCGCGGGCCUGUUCGGUAGCCAGUUUGGCACUCCACCAGGGUUUACCCGAUACCCAGUUUAAUUCAGUACCUACUAUAUCUCGUUAAACAGUAAGACAUCUCAGCCAUGAUGACAUAUCUACGAGUUCAAACAACUCAGAUUUGAGAAAAAAACAUGUAGUUCUCAAAUAUCGGACAUUUUUACCAAGCGUAAACAAUUGUUGAUUAUGGGGCUGUCACACAUUGACGUAUAGCAUCAGCGUAUGCCGACGUAUGAGAAAUUUAGCAAACACACUGGUAUACGUUGAAUACGUUAUGGGUACGUUUUUAACAAGUCACUAGUUAUUAAAUUGUUGUGCGCCAUGCAUAAAAUUUUCAGCGUAUGCCGACGUAUUGCUUACACGUUAGGCGUAAGUUAGAAAUACGAGACAGGUAAGUUAAUUAUUUCAUACUUCGGAAUAAGAUGUCUAAAAUGUUAUAGUGUGACAGGCCCAUUAUCAGAGUUACACACAAACAAUGUAAAUAUGAUUUAGAAACCCGAUAAAUGAAUUCUCGGCUGUUAUAAAGUAGGUAUUAUAUUAAAACAGAAACCGUAAUGGAUACGGUUGAGCUGGAAGGCCAGGGUCAACGAGCUUAGCCAAACAGGGUAUCGGGUAAACCCGUGACACAAUCUCUUGAAAUUUCAAAUUCCACACGUGUUCUCAAUUGGGCUGUAAAUGUUGACGUAUUGUCUGUAAAUGGUGACAUAUUGUCUGUAAAUGGUGACGUAUUGUCUGUAAAUGGUGACAUAUUGUCUGUAAAUGGUGACGUAUUGUCUGUAAAUGGUGACAUAUUGUCUGUAAAUGGUGACGUAUUUUCUAUAAGUCGUGGGUGGCUGGUAAAGUUACCACGUUAAUCAAACACGAAUACACGGCGCAUAUCAGUCAUGUUUUUUUUUCAAUUUGAUUUUCAUCUGCCUUUGUUUUGUAUUCCGUAUUCUAUAUUUUACUUAUUAAGUAAAUACCAGAUUUCAAAGGACACAGACAAUAAAAUCUGGAAACGUUCGGAAACCAUCGCUGGAUUUGCUUAACCGGGUUACUAAACCCAUUUUACGAAUUCAAUUGUACGAGUGACUUGAUGAUCGCGACGAGUAGUUACCACUAUAACUUAAGUUAGUGCUAAAUGACAAGGCCAGCUCAUCAUCCUAGGUCAGUGCUUAUGUGGAGACUUAACCUCUCCCCCAAAUUCUUAAACCUAACUUACAAUCUCGCCAACAAUCACGUGCGCUAACCUUAUUUUACAUCUCAACGACCUGAUAAAAAUUGAGCUGACCUUAACAAAUAGAUUUAGCCCGAUAACUUGUGCAAGUAUUUAGGUAUGGCUAUCCAGGCACUCACUAAGUGUGAAAUUUACAGACAUACAUCCACACACACGUUGAAAUUGUAAACAAAUUAGUAUGUCUUUUAACAACUAUCAAAGAGUUUGAUGCAGUUACACAGGAUGAAAGUUUGAGUCUUUUACUCCGAAUUUACCCUGUAAAAUAUAUUUAUGUGGGGUCUGCUCCUUUCCUUUCCUACCAAGUUAGUAUUAUAUUUUAAAAUACGUUUAUUUUCCUGCAUUUUAUGUUUUGAUUAUUAUUUUCAUGUUUUGAUUAUUAUAAUGGUUUCGUUUUAUAUCUUGCUUUUGCCGUAGAAACCUAUUUUAUUUUUGAGUUUAUUUUAGAAAAUACUGGUAUAUUUAUUUAUGUAGUGUUGUUAUUGUUUAUGGUGUAAAUAUUUGCUUGGAAUUAUUCAACAUUUAUAUAUAAAAUAUAAAUACUUAUUUCAAUAAAGCAAUAGUGAAAAACUGUCUGUAUUUAGCUAUCGGUUGGUCAACUCCGAGCCGCUGUGGCAAGGUGAAACCACGCCGGAAAAUCUGGAUGAACUUUCUCGGCCAAUGCAGGGAUCCACCACCCGACCCCCAGGCUAGCGAGCCAGCGUCUUACCCACUUACGUUCUAUGGAGCGGAAUUUCGCUUUAUUUCAUGCCCACAUAAGAGACACAGAAAAUAUUUCAAUGGGGAUUACCGAUUAGAAACACAAUGUACAGAAUUUUCUAGUAGGACUUCAAUAGUUAAAAAGUAAAGUAUAUGCCCCCUUUAAGGAUGGGCAGUGAAUCACCUGAUUUUAUUACUCGCAUGGUGAUUGGUUGAGGUGAUUGUUAUAAAUAUGCGGUCUGCGAUGGCCUGUCAGUCUUCUCUUAACUUUUUUGGUGAUACGUUCGUUCCUCUACUUCAUACAUCACAUUUACACAAACAAUACAUAUUGUAUUGUGAAGUUUAAAGCCAGUCAUUAACCGCAUUCUUGGGAUUUCAAUAUAUUAUAUAAACGUUUUGUUAUUUCUAACCGGAAACAUUCACAACAGCAAGUCUUUAUUUGAAAUCAAGCAGCCGAGACGACCUACCUUAGCUUUGUUUGGUUAGUGUGGGCAUUCCCGAUUUUAUAAGACAGACAUUGCGUUUAAGUUGUACUUGAAUAACUUGGAGCAUGAUUCAAAGCGUUACACAUGUAUGUUUGAUUUGUAUUCUGAUAAUAAAAUUCCAAGGACAAGAAGCCAAUCCUUGUUCACCGGAACAGUAUUACGACAUUGGAUUACGUGAUUGUUUUUAUUGUAUUGUUCUGUGUAAAAACGCUGAAGCACGAGGUCAGCUAACAGAAUGUAAGACCAAGUGCCCAGAUUUUGUUGAAUCAUCAGCCCCAUCAACAACUACGAGUAGAACCAAAUCAAAUGACACAGCCACCAAAUUAUCUCCUGACACCAGCCAUAUAUGGAUUAGAAUAGGACUGAUAAUAUCUGGAGCUGUUAUCUUUGUUACUGUGAUUAUAGUACUGUUGAUAUUCAGUUGGUUAAAACGAUCACGAGACGGUGGUAAAGGACAACACGAAUUAUUAAAACAACGAAAUCCAGGCCAAUUAGAUCCAGAAAAUCCAAAUAUACCGGGCUGCCCUCAACAAAACUGCCAGUCAAACAGUGGUAUUCAAGAUACUCAACCACCGUCGAGUUCUGAAUUACUUAUAUCGUCGACUAGAGUUUGAUGAAGAAAACAGCAGUAUAAAGCAUUUUCGGAAAUAUUUUUUUUAUAUAUAAAAUUAUAUAGCUACUUAUAAAAAUUUAUUUUUAUGUUGACUUUUAAAAAAUUUAUUUGUAUGUUGACAUUUAAUAAAUUUAUUUAUGUUCGGUUUUAGUCUGAUAAAUUAAAGUUGGGAGGGUAUUUUUGAUCAUAAGAGAUUAUUUGAUAAGUCUUUAUACCGGAUGAUUUAUUAUUAGAACAGUAUUAAAGCGAAUUAUAAUUGAAUUUGUUAUUAUUUCUGGUUAGUCAUCGUUAAUAAAGGGAUCAAUAAACUAUUGUCUUUUACAUAUUA